AAGAAAAAUUUAUUAUUAUUGUUGUCAUUAAAUAUUAAAAAAAUUCUAAUACCAUAAGAUCAAACUUAGUAAUUAAUAUUAUAUUCUCUUACUAUUAUUAGUUUAUUAUUAUUGAAAAUGGAUUUAAGUUUUGAAUUUUUGAUUCUAUUAAAUUUGAAUAAAGGCACAUAGGUCCAAAAAUACUUAGACUUAAAAAAAUACGUCAAUAAUUUGGCACGCGCUCUUAAAAAAAGAAAGAAAAAAACUUAUUAGGCUUUUUUUCUUAGGCACAACAUGGCACGACCCACGACAUGGCAUGCGUGGGCAUGGUAAGGGUGGGCACGACAUGUGUGCUAGGCCAAGCCUAAGCAAAAAAAACAAAAUUAGGCACAACGCUGCAUGGUGCAAAACACAAAAUGGGCGCGGCAUGACACGAGCACGAGCACGAGCACGCAUAGACCUUCCUUUGAUGUCAGCUCGGUCUGUUGGCCAUCUCUAUACAUACAUAAAUGCAACAGCCGCAUGCUGAACAUCCCAACUCCCCAAGACCCAUCACAACGACCGGAUUUGACCCGAUCCUAAUCCAAUCUUUUAAACUAAUCCAAACAUAAAUAAGAAAUUUGAAUUAAAUUCAAAUGAACUUUUACCCAAUCAAAUUGGCUCAAUUUAGAUCUAAAAUUGCAUGUGUUGUAAAACUUGUCAUCUUCACCUAGUCAUUGAGCAUCAUCAAAAGAAUCUUCUAUUUUAACUUUUCAAAUACUUAUUUACUUAUUUAUGUGACAAAUAAGAGAGUAAAAAAAUUCUCUCUAAAGACUCUUUAAAUAAAAAUAAUUG
rnacentral:lncRNA from 1 species